UUGGUCCAACAGCAGCCAACCUCAGUGAGGAGCCAGAACUAUAGAUGAAUGUGAGCUGCUUGAUGUAGCCCAGUAGUAGAUUUAUUUAUCCAGCUGGGACAUCAUGCCCUGUAAGGAGCAAGCCCAGCUGAGGUACAGUUUAACCAGUGGAAAUGGCAUGCAUUGUGAGGAGCUAGCCCAGGUGAACAGCAGUACAAAUCAUCCAUGACAGCUGCAGCAACCUCCCUGAGAAUCCUUUGGAGAAUGAAGCAUCCUGAGAUCCUGCAGUUUGGGAGUUGUAUAGGAAACAGAGUCCUGGACCUGGAUGCUAAAGCCCUGGAGAGCUCGGAGCCAGGAUUUGAGACUAGAAAUUGCAACUAGCCCAGAAGGAAAGCCCUGAAAAGACACAGUCCUGGGACUAAGGCCCUCAGAAAGCUUUGGACUUAGAAUCUGGUGGGACCAGUGCUAUUUAGGAAGAGAAUUUAAAAUGCAAACUAAUACUCUGCCCCUCCUCAGAAACUGAGGAAAUGUUGGGAAAAUUAUGUUUCCCUUUGGUGUUGGGGUGGGGUGGGGU
rnacentral:lncRNA from 1 species